rnacentral:lncRNA from 1 species
CUAAAGCAUGAAAUCUAUUGCUCAAGCAAGUAAAUAAGCCCUAUGAAUGUUUUCUACCAAUUCCCCUUAACUAAGCAUGCAUUACCUUCCCAAUAUUCACUAUAACCCCCGCUUUGUUUACAAAUUAUUACAGCCAGAUAAUUAAUACAACAGUGAGAAAAAGAAAAUAAAAAGUUACUUUAUAGAGAGCCUUUAGGCAGGCCAAAGAAUCUCCAACCUCACUUCUUUCAAUUUCAC